AUUUCAUGCGCACGCACAAGACAUCUCUCUGUCUCUUUUUCUAGUUUCUACUCUUUUCAGAUUUCUUUUUUUUUCUAACACCUCUCUGAGAAACCAAGGUACCCAGAUCUUUUAUUGCCGGAGACCACAGGCACUACAAACACAUAGAUCGUCCAGAGGCAAGUCGGAGGAAGUCAAACACGCCACUCAGGCAGCCAACCACAAAGGUCACACGUCACUUUAUCUGGGCGAACUCAGUCUACCGAGGUAUUUGGAGUUUUUGGGUUUCACUAAUUAAGCCAAUUUAGUGUUUUGCACAUAAGGAAAAAAAUGGGAAUUACUAGUUAUAAAUGAUUAAAAAACACCUUUCAUGUAUUCUAUCUCCCAAUUGCAUAUAGAUGAAAUCACUUAGAUUUACAUGUAAUUAACAGAACGUUGUGGGCAAAUAUACAUGAGUCAAAAACAUGUUUUCUGGAUUCAUCAUCAUCAAAUUAAUAUAUAAAAAAAAUCAACAAGUUUAAUCCAAAUUAGAGCAUGAUUAUUACGGGGUCGAAGCAAGCAACUUGGCUCUGAUACUAUUGCAGGCAUUUAGAACUGACCUUACUGUAGAAGGAAUGGGACUAGAUGCUCGUUUGCUACCCACAAAGAACGAUUCUCCUUGUUGAAGCUUUUGCUUGCCUCUGUCCUCUCCCAGAUGUUAUUAGAGUACCGGAUAAUAUUCACACUCUAAAUUUGAAGUUUAUUAAUGGUCUAAUUUAACGUGAGAAGAAAAAUGAUGGUGUCAUGUUUUACUGCAUGUAAUCUUCGUCUUGAUAAACAGAAGAAAGUUUUUCUUAUAGGCUCACAAAGAGUCGUUAUUUCAUGAUAGAAAAUUUGACAGAAAGGAGGCAGAGCAAAAUGAACCUAAGAGUGGGAAAAAUAUUUUUAUUUAAUUCAUACGUUUGCAGCUUACACAAUAUAUAUAGCCAUCAACAAUGGCACCAUAACAGAAGAAACAAAAAUGAAACAGAAUGCAGGGCACAGGGGCACCAUAACAGAAGAAAACAAAAAUGCAGGAAAACAUACAGAAGUAGGAAAACAUACAGCAGGAAAACGUACCAGUGCUGGUACGUGGGCAAUGGACAAAAGAAAAAAAGAAAUAAAAAGCGGUUACAAUUAAAUAUAUUAAUUAUUCUUAAUACUCCACCUCUAGAUGGAAGGUACAGAUUUAUUGUGCCCCUCUUGCUCAAUAAAUUGGUGAAUUGUGCAGAAUGAAGGGCCUUUGUCAUUAAAUCUGCCAGUUAAUUUCAAGUGGAUAUGUGCAUCGUCUUCAUGGUACCAUCUUGAAUCUUCUCACGAACAAAAUGACAAUCAAGUUCAAUGUGUUUUGUUCUUUCAUGAUACAUUGGAUUUGAAGCAAUAUGUAGAGCGGCUUGAUUAUCACAGUAAAGUAAUGCAGGGCCUUGGUGUUAAACUUUUAAGUCACGCAACAGCUUCAGAGUCCAAACGAUUUCGCAAGUAGUGUUGGCCAUAGAGCGAUAUUCGGCUUCGGCAGAUGACCGAGAAACGACUUGUUAUUUCUUUGAUUUCCAUGAGACUAAUGAAGACCCAAGGAAAACAUAAAAACCAGUGAGAGAUCUUCUAGUAUCCGGACAUGUGCCCCAAUCAGCAUCAGAAAAGGCGUUAAUCUGAAUGGCAGAUGAUGAAGGAAAGAAAAGACCUUGUCCAGGGGUUCUCUUGAUGUACUGGAGAAUCUGUAAGGCAGCUUAGAGGUGACUGGUUCUAGGAGCAGCCAGAAAUUGACUCAAUCUAUUGACAGAGUAGCAUAUGUCAGGGCGAGAGAUGGUUAAAUACAACAGUUUUCCAAUUAGUCGCCGAUAGCUGGUGAUAUCACUCAAGAGCUCGCCAUCAUCUUUAGACAUUUUGAUAUUAUGAUCCAUAGGAAUAGAUGAGGGUUUACAACCAAGAUAUCCAGUCUCAGUUAAGAGAUCCAAUGCAUAUUUCCUUUGGCACAAGGUGAUUCCUAUGUCAUUUUUUGUAAUUUCAAGUCCAAGAAAAUAUCGGAGAAUUCCCAAAUCUUUCAUUUUAAAUUUUUGUUUGAGUGUACCUUUGAGUUCUUCGACAGCCUGAUCGUCAUUACUGGGAAUAACAAUGUCAUCGACAUACACCGACAAUGCUAAGAAGGUUUUACCUUGUUGUCUGACAAAUAGGAAAUGGUCACAUUGUGACUGAUAGAAGCCUUCUUGAAGUAAUGUUCAUGAAAACUUAUGAAACCACUGUCGGGAAGCUUGUUUCAACCCAUAGAUUGACUUGUGGAGGCGGCAAACAGGUUGAUGUGGAAAAGUCUCCCCCUCUCGAGGAGAAUAGCCUGGAGGAAUAGUCAUAU
rnacentral:lncRNA from 1 species